rnacentral:tRNA from 1 species
GGCGGGGUAGCUCAGCUGGUAGAGCAGUGGAAUCAUAAUCCAUGGGUCGCAGGUUCGAGUCCUGCCCUCGCUACCA